AUGGUGCCCCAUCCAGUUUGUAAGAAGUUGUGGAGUUUGAGAGUGCCAGCGAAAGUCAAAAUUUAUAUCUGGAGAUGCUUGCACAAUGCCAUCCCAUGCCGGAGUACUCUUAUGAAUCGCCAUGUUGGAAACUUGUCCCAAUGCCCAUACUGUACAGAUGGUGCGGCGGACUUAGCCCAUAUGCUGUUUAAGUGUGCAAGGGCGCAAGCAGUUUGGGAAGCUUUGGGAAUCGCAUCAGAUAUUAACUUUGCUUCAUUGACUGAUCGAGCAGGUUCAUUAGUCUUGGAGUUCAUUUUAUGUGAUGAUUAUUAUCGGCGACAAUAUUCUGGAUUGGUCGAGCUACCAGAGCUCAUAUCAACAGUUUGUUGGUUCUUAUGGUGGCAAAGAAGACAAUUCGUGCGAGGGGGAGAAAUAUUGACUCCAGAACGAACAGCGUCGGCGGUGGUUGCCCUAGCAAUUAAUUAUGUGCGCGGAGCACAAGCUAAAUCUACACCCAAGAUCAACAGGUGGCCGACGUUCCUAGCAGGACAACUUGUCCUUAAUGUCGAUGCUUCAUUCACAGAGGGCGAUUAUGCAGGAUCUUGUGGUGCUGUCAUCCGUGAUCACCGUGGAUCUUUCAUGUCGGCGUCCACGGCGAGAUUAGAACAUGUAGCUGAUGUGUUCACGGCAGAAGCGGCAGCUCUGCUUGAAGGAUUGAAGCUAGCAAGAGAUACGUGA
rnacentral:rRNA from 1 species